rnacentral:rRNA from 1 species
AAAAGAAACCAACAGGGAUUGCCCUAGUAACGGCGAGUGAAGCGGCAACAGCUCAAAUUUGAAAUCUGGCUUUCGGGCCCGAGUUGUAAUUUGUAGAGGAUACUUUUGAUGCGGUGCCUUCCGAGUUCCCUGGAACGGGACGCCAUAGAGGGUGAGAGCCCCGUCUGGUUGGAUGCCAAAUCUCUGUAAAGUUCCUUCGACGAGUCGAGUUGUUUG